GAUGAACGCUGGCGGCGUGCUUAACACAUGCAAGUCGAACGGGAUCCAUCGGGCUUUGCUUGGUGGUGAGAGUGGCGAACGGGUGAGUAAUGCGUGACCGACCUGCCCCAUGCUCCGGAAUAGCUCCUGGAAACGGGUGGUAAUGCCGGAUGUUCCACAUGAUCGCAUGUGAUUGUGGGAAAGAUUUCAUCGGCGUGGGAUGGGGUCGCGUCCUAUCAGCUUGUUGGUGAGGUAACGGCUCACCAAGGCUUCGACGGGUAGCCGGCCUGAGAGGGCGACCGGCCACAUUGGGACUGAGAUACGGCCCAGACUCCUACGGGAGGCAGCAGUGGGGAAUAUUGCACAAUGGGCGCAAGCCUGAUGCAGCGACGCCGCGUGAGGGAUGGAGGCCUUCGGGUUGUAAACCUCUUUUGUUUGGGAGCAAGCCUUCGGG
rnacentral:rRNA from 1 species